UAGAGUUUUAUCCUGGCUCAGGAUGAACGCUGGCGGCGUGCCUAAUACAUCCAAGUCGAGCGAACUGAUUAGAAGCUUGCUUCUAUGACGUUAGCUGCGGACGGGUGAGUAACACGUGGGCAACCUGCCUGUAAGACUGGGAUAACUUCGGGAAACCGAAGAUAAUACCGGAUAGGAUCUUCUCCUUCAUGGGAGAUGAUUGAAAGAUGGUUUCGGCUAUCACUUACAGAUGGGCCCGCGGUGCAUUAGCUAGUUGGUGAGGUAACGGCUCACCAAGGCAACGAUGCAUAGCCGACCUGAGAGGGUGAUCGGCCACACUGGGACUGAGACACGGCCCAGACUCCUACGGGAGGCAGCAGUAGGGAAUCUUCCGCAAUGGACGAAAGUCUGACGGAGCAACGCCGCGUGAGUGAUGAAGGCUUUCGGGUCGUAAAACUCUGUUGUUAGGGAAGAACAAGUACAAGAGUAACUGCUUGUACCUUGACGGUACCUAACCAGAAAGCCACGGCUAACUACGUGCCAGCAGCCGCGGUAAUACGUAGGUGGCAAGCGUUAUCCGGAAUUAUUGGGCGUAAAGCGCGCGCAGGCGGUUUGUUAAGUCUGAUGUGAAAGCCCACGGCUCAACCGGGAGGGUCAUUGGAAACUGGGGAACUUGAGUGCAGAAGAGAAAAGCGGAAUUCCACGUGUAGCGGUGAAAUGCGUAGAGAUGGGAGGAACACCAGGGCGAAGGCGGCUUUUUGUCUGUAACGACGCGAGGCGGAAAGCGGAGCAACA
rnacentral:rRNA from 2 species